rnacentral:sRNA from 1 species
GCUGGGUGUGGUGGUGCACAUCUAUAACCCCAGCACCCAGGGAGGCUGAGGCAGGAAGAUUUUGAGUUCAAAGCCAGCCUCAGCAACUUAGUAAGGCUCUAAGCAACUCAGGAAGACCCUGUCUCUA